rnacentral:rRNA from 1 species
CGCGCAGGCGGUCUUGUCCGUCAGGUGUGAAAGCUCGGGGCUUAACCCCGGAAGUGCACUUGAAACAGCAAGACUUGAAUACGGUAGAGGAGAGAGGAAUUCCUGGUGUAGAGGUGAAAUUCGUAGAUAUCAGGAGGAACACCGAUGGCGAAGGCAUCUCUCUGGGCCGAUAUUGACGCUGAGGCGCGAAGGCGUGGGUAGCGAACG